rnacentral:rRNA from 1 species
AGCGAACGCUGGCGGCGUGCCUAACACAUGCAAGUCGAACGUGAAAAGGGAAACCUGAGUAAAGUGGCGUACGGGUGAGUAACGCGUAGGUAAUCUACCCCAGAAUCUGGAAUAACCUGCCGAAAGGCGGGCUAAUACUGGAUAGAGCGAGGGAACUCGUAAGAGAGUUUUUCGGGAAAGGGAGCCCGCAAGGGCCUUCGUUCUGGGAUGAGCCUGCGUCUCAUUAGCUAGUUGGUAAGGUAACGGCUUACCAAGGCGAUGAUGAGUAGCUGGUCUGAGAGGAGGAUCAGCCACACUGGAACUGAAACACGGUCCAGACGCCUACGGGAGGCAGCAGUGGGGAAUCUUGCGCAAUGGACGAAAGUCUGACGCAGCCACGCCGCGUGAGUGAAGAAGGCCUUCGGGUUGUAAAGCUCUGUCGGAUGGGACGAACAUCUUCAUAGUGAAUAGCUAUGAGGACUGACGGUACCAUCAAAGGAAGCACCGGCUAACUCCGUG